AUUGAACGCUGGCGGCAGGCCUAACACAUGCAAGUCGAGCGAGCGGCGGACGGGUGAGUAAUGUAUGGGGACUGCCCGAUAGAGGGGGAUAACUACUGGAAACGGUGGCUAAUACCGCAUACUGUCGGAUUACCCAUCUGGGCUUAGCUCGUAGGUAAGGGAAUGGCUUACCUAGGCGACGAUCCCUAGCUGGUCUGAGAGGUUGAUCAGCCACACGGUGACGGUGACACGGCCCAGACGCCUACGGAGGCAGCAGUUGGGAAUAGGGCACAAUGGGAGCAAGCCUGAUGCAGCCAUGCCGCGUGUAUGAAGGAGACCCUAGGGUUGUAAAGUACUUUCAGUCGGGAGGCGUUACCGACAGAAGAAGCACCGGCUAACUCCGUGCCAGCAGCCGCGGUAAUAC
rnacentral:rRNA from 1 species